GAUGAACGCUGGCGGCGUGCCUAAUACAUGCAAGUCGAGCGAACAGACGAGGAGCUUGCUCCUCUGACGUUAGCGGCGGACGGGUGAGUAACACGUGGAUAACCUACCUAUAAGACUGGGAUAACUUCGGGAAACCGGAGCUAAUACCGGAUAAUAUAUUGAACCGCAUGGUUCAAUAGUGAAAGACGGUUUUGCUGUCACUUAUAGAUGGAUCCGCGCCGCAUUAGCUAGUUGGUAAGGUAACGGCGUACCAAGGCGACGAUGCGUAGCCGACCUGAGAGGGUGAUCGGCCACACUGGAACUGAGACACGGUCCAGACUCCUACGGGAGGCAGCAGUAGGGAAUCUGCCGCAAUGGGCGAAAGCCUGACGGAGCAACGCCGCGUGAGUGAUGAAGGUCUUCGGAUCGUAAAACUCUGUUAUUAGGGAAGAACAAAUGUGUAAGUAACUAUGCACGUCUUGACGGUACCUAAUCAGAAAGCCACGGCUAACUACGUG
rnacentral:rRNA from 1 species